GAAAAUAUUUCAUGAUUCCCAUCGCACCACCCCUCUAGCACCAAAAUAAGAUUUCCCAUGCCAAGCUCACCAGCACUUUUUUUGUUUCUGUACAUUUGCUGCAGGAUGAACCAAUUCCUUCUGAAUGUGCCCUUCAAGGAACAAGGGAAAGAUAUGGUCUCCCGAGCAUCAAAUGGGACAGAGGAAGAGGCAAUGUUCAGUCAUUGCACAGCUUAAUGAAUGGAGAGCUGAAACCACGAAGCAGCUAUAGCCAGCUAACAUAUGUCUUGGGUGUAUUCACAGCAGGGCCCACAGCAGAGAUUUACACAGACAUAAAUGGAGCCUAGAUGAAAAAAAAAAAGUAAUUGAAUUUCUUUUGUCCUCAUUAUGUUUCUGCUUCAUUCAUCACCUCUUCACAGACUAUGGCCUGCCUCUAUUUUGCUUGCUCCCUUUGUGCCAGAGGAAAAGGCCAGAGUGGUAGAAAG
rnacentral:lncRNA from 1 species